rnacentral:rRNA from 1 species
GAUGAACGCUGGCGGCGUGCCUAAUACAUGCAAGUCGAGCGAACAGACGAGGAGCUUGCUCCUCUGACGUUAGCGGCGGACGGGUGAGUAACACGUGGAUAACCUACCUAUAAUACUGGGAUAACUUCGGGAAACCGGAGCUAAUACCGGAUAAUAUAUUGAACCGCAUGGUUCAAUAGUGAAAGACGGUUUUGCUGUCACUUAUAGAUGGAUCCGCGCCGCAUUAGCUAGUUGGUAAGGUAACGGCUUACCAAGGCGACGAUGCGUAGCCGACCUGAGAGGGUGAUCGGCCACACUGGAACUGAGACACGGUCCAGACGCCUACGGGAGGCAGCAGUAGGGAAUCUUCCGCAAUGGGCGAAAGCCUGACGGAGCAACGCCGCGUGAGUGAUGAAGGUCUUCGGAUCGUAAAACUCUGUUAUUAGGGAAGAACAAAUGUGUAAGUAACUAUGCACGUCUUGACGGUACCUAAUCAGAAAGCCACGGCUAACUACGUG